rnacentral:rRNA from 1 species
UGGGGAAUUUUGGACAAUGGGCGAAAGCCUGAUCCAGCAAUGCCGCGUGUGUGAAGAAGGCCUUCGGGUUGUAAAGCACUUUUGUCCGGAAAGAAAUCCUUGGCUCUAAUACAGUCGGGGGAUGACGGUACCGGAAGAAUAAGCACCGGCUAACUACGUGCCAGCAGCCGCGGUAAUACGUAGGGUGCAAGCGUUAAUCGGAAUUACUGGGCGUAAAGCGUGCGCAGGCGGUUUGCUAAGACCGAUGUGAAAUCCCCGGGCUCAACCUGGGAACUGCAUUGGUGACUGGCAGGCUAGAGUAUGGCAGAGGGGGGUAGAAUUCCACGUGUAGCAGUGAAAUGCGUAGAGAUGUGGAGGAAUACCGAUGGCGAAGGCAGCCCCCUGGGCCAAUACUGACGCUCAUGCACGAAAGCGUGGGGAGCAAACAGGAUUAGAUACCCUGGUAGUCCACGCCCUAAAACGAUGUCAACUAGUUGUUGGGGGAUUCAUUUUCCUUAGUAACGUAGCUAACGCGUGAAGUUGACCGCCUGGGGAGUACGGUCGCAAGAUUAAAACUCAAAUGAAUUGACGGGGUCAUAGCUGUUUCC